CCCUGGUCUGUCUCCCCCUGUCUGGUACAGAUACCCCCACCACACUCACCCCUCUCUCCCUGGUCUGUCUCCCCCUGUCUGGUACAGAUACCCCCACCACACUCACCCCUCUCUCCCUGGUCUGUCUCCCCCUGUCUGGUACAGAUACCCCCACCACACUCACCCCUCUCUCCCUGGUCUGUCUCCCCCUGUCUGGUACAGAUACCCCCACCACACUCACCCCUCUCUCCCUGGUCUGUCUCCCCCUGUCUGGUACAGGUACCCCCACCACACUCACCCCUCUCUGUUCACCGUCUGCCCUGGCCUGUCUCCCCCUGUCUGGUACAGGUACCCCCACCACACUCACCCCUCUCUCCCUGGUCUGUCUUCCCCUGUCUGGUACAGGUACCCCCACCACACUCACCCCUCUCUGUUCACCGUCUGCCCUGGCCUGUCUCCCCCUGUCUGGUACAGGUAUCUCCACCAUACUCCCCUCUCUCCCUG
ensembl:lncRNA